UACGUAGGGUUCGAGCGUUAAUCGGAAUUACUGGGCGUAAAGCGUGCGCAGGCGGUUGUGCAAGACAGAUGUGAAAUCCCCGGGCUCAACCUGGGAAUUGCAUUUGUGACUGCACGGCUAGAGUGUGUCAGAGGGGGGUAGAAUUCCACGUGUAGCAGUGAAAUGCGUAGAUAUGUGGAGGAAUACCGAUGGCGAAGGCAGCCCCCUGGGUCAAGAUUGACGCUCAUGCACGAAAGCGUGGGGAGCAAACAGG
rnacentral:rRNA from 1 species